CUGGCUAGAGGCAGAAGAGGUGCAGCAGAAGAAAUCAGAGAGAUCUGAGACAUGAGGAGGAACCCACCAUUGGGAUGUGAAGGACAAAGUGGGCCAAAGGUUGGGAAGAAUUGCCCCAAGGAAAUCAUUCCAGCAGCUAGCCUGAUUUCACUGAGAUGGGUGUCACCCUGUCUGGAAGUUGUCGGGAAUGUAAUUUGUCUACUCCAGAUCAAUGAACAUCUGAUGAUCCUGCCUCAAGUUUAUCUGUACAAAUAGCACAGUGUGACACCAGCUCCACGCAGACAGUAGCCCAGGGGUAAUACCAGUCCUUCCAUCCUCACAUGGACAUACAGAGGUCCCUACUGUGGAGUUUUAUUAUCCAUCUACAGAUUCAGAGACAUCCAAAAUCAGCCCGGGUGACUUUUAAGAGCCUAAUAGGGGCCCAAGAGGUUCCCUGGGCUUUGCAAAUGCAGCUGAAAGACCGCAGCAGGCCCACGGCCUGAAGGGACCUGCUGAUUGCUGGCAGGGGCACUGGAACUGGCCAGGCCAGUGCACCAGCCUGCUUUGCAAAGUAAAACUCAAGGGCUCCACCCAGAUUGUCUUUUCUCAUUUUCAAACUUUUGAUCUCAUUUCAAAUUACAUGUUAUAGCGAUUUGCACCAGCGGGUUGAUGAUGAUCACCCUGGAGAGCUGGAAGAACAGCUUGGCCAUAUGUUUACCAGUGUGCACGCAGCAGUAUGAUUUCAGUAAUGACUUGAUUUGGGCUGCAUUUACGCCUCUAACACUCUCCAAAUUGACAUUUUCUCCUCCAUAAAAACAGACCCCUAAUAUGAAAGUCUCAUAAAGGGGUUCAACAUUUUUCAUUAAUGCAUGUCAGGUGUGUGUACCUGGCUUUAAAGGAAAUGCAAUAUGUGAGAAAGGAUGUGCACCCAUUAAACCAGGGGUCAAGAGACUCACUUUACAGACUGAUGGAUUCACUUCACAGAAUGAUUCUUUUCUUUACCAAAAGAAUGUCCACUGGUUUGCCUGAAAGGUAUAAGCUUUCCUUGAGUACCUGAACACUUUGUAAAGUUUUCAUUUAAAAAUGCAGCUUAGGCAUCACAUGCACUGUGGUAAAAUGUAGACUGUUCAGAUCAGACAGACGUCCCCAUGUCAUUUUAGCCAUUACCCCAUUUCAAAUGGAAUUCAAACGAUUUGUCAACAUCUGGUUGUAAAUCAGUGCCCGGCCUAGAUGGUUCUGAAGCAAAGCAUAUACUUGCUUCAAGACUUAGGCCAAUAGUUAUUCCCUUCCUUCAUCCAGCCCUCUCAGACAACUCUCACUCCUUUCCCAGACUUGAAAUCUUUCUGGCAUUUUGUAGCAUUUUGUAUUGCCCAAUUUGAAUAGUGUCCUAGAAAUGGCCAUAGUUUUAUUCAUUUAAUGAGUUCAGCUCUGUUCCAGGUCUUCAAGAAACUUGCCUAAAAAAAUAAUUACAGUCGAUAAAAUACAAUGAGAAGGAGCUAUCACUGUUCUGAAUCAAUGUCUUCUGUUUAGCAAGAAUUCAUAAGACCCCUAUGUUCAUUGCAGAAUUAUGUAUAAUAACCAAGAUUUGGAAGU